UAGGGAAUCUUCGGCAAUGGACGAAAGUCUGAUCGAGCAACGCCGCGUGAGUGAAGAAGGUUUUCGGAUCGUAAAACUCUGUUGUUAGAGAAGAACAAGGACGUUAGUAACUGAACGUCCCCUGACGGUAUCUAACCAGAAAGCCACGGCUAACUACGUGCCAGCAGCCGCGGUAAUACGUAGGUGGCAAGCGUUGUCCGGAUUUAUUGGGCGUAAGGCGAGCGCAGGCGGUUUCUUAAGUCUGAUGUGAAAGCCCCCGGCUCAACCGGGGAGGGUCAUUGGAAACUGGGAGUCUUGAGUGCAGAAGAGGAGAGUGGAGUUCCAUGUGUAGCGGUGAAAUGCGUAGAUAUAUGGAGGAACACCAGUGGCGAAGGCGGCUCUCUGGUCUAUAACUGACGCUGAGGCUCGAAAGCGUGGGGAGCAAGCAGG
rnacentral:rRNA from 1 species